UACGUAGGGCGCAAGCGUUUGUCCGGAAUUAUUGGGCGUAAAGAGCUCGUAGGCGGCCUGUUGCGUCCGCUGUGAAAUCCCGGGGCUCAACCCCGGGCCUGCAGUGGAUACGGGCUGGCUAGAGGCAGGCAGGGGAGAACGGAAUUCCUGGUGUAGCGGUGAAAUGCGCAGAUAUCAGGAGGAACACCGGUGGCGAAGGCGGGUCUCUGGGCCGAUACUGACGCUGAGGAGCGAAAGCGUGGGGAGCGAAACAGG
rnacentral:rRNA from 1 species